CCUUAAGAGUAUCACGACAGCUCGUACAUUUGUCAGCAGACCACACAACACGCUGCUUACAACAAGGCAGACUCUCCACAAGUUCGAAAUUUAGACACGUGUGGCACCGUCCUAACGCUAGCAUCGUUUGUUUUUCCAGGGGCCCUGACGUCACACGCCACUGGAAGGUCCUCUUCCAAGAGUAUCAUGAGCUUUUACGAAAAGCGCUCACUUGUUUCCAUGGUAACCAGGACUGGUGACAGCGCUCCCUCCCCGACAGCUCAAGCCCCAGGAGCCAUGGGUGAAGGGAACCGGUGGCUGCUGCCAGGUAGGGCUCCCCUCCCUGCUGACUGAGCACUGACUUAGUGUGCUGAGAGAAAACGCUCUUGACUUCCACAGGAACUUCUGCUACAGUUCUAACGGAUAUGCCCUCUGACCCUACAUUGCUGCAGAAGACGAGAGAAUGAAUCAGCGUUUGCCUUAAACGAAACACCACCACUCUGGCAAUCUUUUGAAAGUGAAGUCCCUGUUUUCAGAGAUAAAAGACUCACACAGCUUGUCAAACCUUUUUAGGGGCUGAGGGCGACACCAAAGUCCUUUUGUCAUUGGUCUUAGGGAGACCUUCCUGUAUCUGACUGCUGGCUGGGGUCAGGCGUCUCCUCAGGCUGACCCCCCCCCCCCCCCCGACCUCCUGGGCCCCUCCUCUGGCCCACAGCUCUGCCUCCCCUGAGUCACGUGUGCUGCUCUUCGAAGCAGCUAGGUAGCGGGAGGCAGCCUCAGCGUCCCCAGGAGGGCUAGGCACUGACGUGUGCCCCAGAAGCAAGACCCUUCGUUGACACUAAUGAAGUCAGCCAGCUCUGUAGUAUAAAAGGCAGAACUCCAUUUUAGCUGGCUUUCUGGGAAAUUUGUCUUUGCCCUUGGUUUGGCUUUUAGACACUACCUUUUCCUCAGAAGGACACAAGGCCCAAGGAAAUGAUGCCACCACACACCUUGCACACGUGUAUGUAUUCCUCCUGUCUGAACUGGGCAGGGGAAGUAGGGGGCACAUGCUGUGGAGGUGGAGGGGAGUGGAGGGCAAGCAGGGGCAUAGCUAGCAGUUUCUGCACUGUGAGUUUCUCCCCCGUCUUCUCUUGCUGAAACAUACAGAGCCCAAUUAUAGGAAAACCCCUCCUCGCACCACAUCGCCAAAGCCAAGUAAAUAACGAUCCCCAGGCCUACCAUAAGCAUUUAUUGAGUGUCUAUUGUAUAUAGAUGUCAGCCAUUUCACCUUUGCAUCUCAAGACAUAGUCCAGUUCCCAGGGCUGAGUAGGCUCGGAAUAGAGAUGCAGAGCAGGUGGGGGAUGUCGGGGCGUCAGGGCUAGAGGUGCUGGGAAGAGCUUCCAGACAGAGAUGCGUUCCUAUCCCAUGAAGUUUAAGGCGUUAGAUCACAACUAGGUAAGCUGGGAGCACAGAGCAUCUCAAAGAGAAAGCAAUAGGGAGGAGACCGUGAGGCAGCCCUUCAGCACCUGUACUUGCACUUGAUUGACAAGUCACCGGAAGGCAGGAUAAUUAAAGUGAUCACAGAAUCUCACAAGAUGCUUAUUCUUUCCUCGAAUAAUCCAGAAGAAGGAGUUAAAAACCAGCACUUAACAAGCCAGGACCCUCCGACUACUCAGGACUCCCAGACCCUGCAAGCAGGCGCCAAGGCGAAGGAGGUGGAGCUGGGAAUAAGAAAGCUGAAAAAUCAUUCUGGAGGAUUCAGUGCGUAUUGGCCCAUUCCAACUCCACUGGCCAGAAAGCAGUAAAGAACCUCAAAAUGUCUGUAGUUGCUCAAAUGCCAUGGGAGUCUUUUGAAAGUUCUAACACGGAAUACAAGAACAUUUGAAGUCUUGAA